CAGUCAAAUCACUUUGAAACACCGGUUCUCAUACGAUCAUCGAGGUUAAGCAACGAAGAGCCUGGUCAGUACCUAGAUGGGUAACCGCUUGCGGAGAGUAGGGGCU